rnacentral:rRNA from 1 species
UGGGGAAUAUUGCACAAUGGGCGCAAGCCUGAUGCAGCCAUGCCGCGUGUAUGAAGAAGGCCUUCGGGUUGUAAAGUACUUUCAGCGGGGAGGAAGGCGAUAAGGUUAAUAACCUUGUCGAUUGACGUUACCCGCAGAAGAAGCACCGGCUAACUCCGUGCCAGCAGCCGCGGUAAUACGGAGGGUGCAAGCGUUAAUCGGAAUUACUGGGCGUAAAGCGCACGCAGGCGGUCUGUCAAGUCGGAUGUGAAAUCCCCGGGCUCAACCUGGGAACUGCAUUCGAAACUGGCAGGCUAGAGUCUUGUAGAGGGGGGUAGAAUUCCAGGUGUAGCGGUGAAAUGCGUAGAGAUCUGGAGGAAUACCGGUGGCGAAGGCGGCCCCCUGGACAAAGACUGACGCUCAGGUGCGAAAGCGUGCGGAGCAAACA